rnacentral:rRNA from 1 species
UUCCGGUUGAUCCCGCCGGACCUUACUGCUAUCGGGGUGGGACUAAGACAUGCGAGUCGAGCGUCUCUAGCUAUGUUGAGACGCGGCAGACGGCUCAGUAACACGUGGCUAACCUACCCUCAGGACGAGGAUAAACCCGGGAAACUGGGGCUAAUACUCGAUAGGUGAGAAUGUCUGGAAUGAUUUCUCACUCAAAGGGCCUUGGGAACAUGCUUCCAAUGUCGCCUGGGGAUGGGGCCGCGUCCGAUCAGGUUGUUGGUGAGGUAAUGGCUCACCAAGCCUAUAACCGGUACGGGCCGUGAGAGCGGUAGCCCGGAGAUGGGUACUGAGACAAGGACCCAGGCCCUACGGGGCGCAGCAGUCGCGAAAACUCCGCAAUGCACGAAAGUGUGACGGGGCUACCCCGAGUGCCAUCCGCUGAGGAUGGCUUUUCCUUGGUAUAACUAGCCGAGGGAAUAAGGAGAGGGCAAGACUGGUGUCAGCCGCCGCGGUAAUACCAGCUCUCCGAGUGGUAGGGAUGAUUAUUGGGCCUAAAGCGUCCGUAGCCGGCUUAGCAAGUCUCCUGUUAAAUUCAGCGACCUAAUCGUUGAGCCGCGGGAGAUACUACUAUGCUAGGAGGCGGGAGAGGUCGACGGUACUCCUGGGGUAGGGGUGAAAUCCUAUAAUCCCGGGAGGACCACCAGUGGCGAAGGCUGUCGACUAGAACGCGCUCGACGGUGAGGGACGAAAGCUGGGGUAGCGAACCGGAUUAGAUACCCGGGUAGUCCCAGCCGUAAACGAUGCGGGCUAGGUGUCGGAAUGGCUACGUGCCAUUUCAGUGCCGCAGGGAAGCCAUUAAGCCCGCCGCCUGGGGAGUACGGCCGCAAGGCUGAAACUUAAAGGAAUUGGUGGGGGAGCACCACAAGGCGUGAAGCUUGCGGUUCAAUUGGAGUCAACGCCGGG